rnacentral:rRNA from 1 species
AUUGAACGCUGGCGGCAGGCCUAACACAUGCAAGUCGAGCGAGCGGCGGACGGGUGAGUAAUGUAUGGGGACUGCCCGAUAGAGGGGGAUACCUACUGGAAACGGUAGCUAAUAACGCAUACUAUCGGAUAACCCAUAUGGGAUUAUCUAGUAGGUGAGGUAAUGGCUCACCUAGGCGACAAUCCCUAGCUGGUCUGAGAGGAUGAUGAGCCACAGUGGGACUGAGACAGGCACCAGACGCCUACGGAGGAGGCAGUGGGGAAUAUUGAACAAUGGGCGCAAGCCUGAUGCAGCAAGGCCGCGUGGAUGAAGAAGGCAUUAGGGUUGUAAAGUACGUUCAGUCGUGAGGCGUUACCGAAAGAAGAAGCACCGGCUAACUCCGUGCCAGCCGCCGCGGUAAUAC